rnacentral:rRNA from 1 species
AUUGAACGCUGGCGGCAGGCCUAACACAUGCAAGUCGAACGGUAACAGGGAUCAGCUUGCUGAUUCGCUGACGAGUGGCGGACGGGUGAGUAAUGUCUGGGAAACUGCCUGAUGGAGGGGGAUAACUACUGGAAACGGUAGCUAAUACCGCAUAACGUCGCAAGACCAAAGAGGGGGACCUUCGGGCCUCUUGCCAUCGGAUGUGCCCAGAUGGGAUUAGCUAGUAGGUGGGGUAACGGCCCACCUAGGCGACGAUCCCUAGCUGGUCGGAGAGGAUGACCAGCCACACUGGAACUGAGACACGGUCCAGACCCCUACGGGAGGCAGCAGUGGGGAAUAUUGCACAAUGGGCGCAAGCCUGAUGCAGCCAUGCCGCGUGUAUGAAGAAGGCCUGCGGGUUGUAAAGUACUUUCAGCGGGGAGGAAGGGAGUAAAGUUAAUACCUUUGCUCAUUGACGUUACCCGCAGAAGAAGCACCGGCUAACUCCGG